GAUGAACGCUGGCGGCGUGCCUAACACAUGCAAGUCGUACGAGCUCGAUCUUCGGAACGGGUUAGUGGCGCACGGGUGAGUAACACGUAGGUGACCUACCCCAGAGUGGGGGAUAACUUCUCGAAAGAGAGGCUAAUACCGCAUACACUCGGUCAUUCAUUUGGCCGAGCAAAGCUCCGGCGCUUUGGGACGGGCCUGCGUCCGAUUAGCUAGUUGGUAGGGUAAUGGCUUACCAAGGCUUUGAUCGGUAGCUGGUCUGAGAGGACGAUCAGCCACACUGGCACUGACACACGGGCCAGACUCCUACGGGAGGCAGCAGUGAGGAAUAUUGGGCAAUGGGCGAAAGCCUGACCCAGCAACGCCGCGUGAGGGAUGAAGGCCUUCGGGUUGUAAACCUCUUUCUGGGAGAAGAGACAAGGACGGUAUCCCAGGAAUAAGUCUC
rnacentral:rRNA from 1 species